rnacentral:rRNA from 1 species
GACGAACGCUGGCGGCGUGCUUAACACAUGCAAGUCGAACGGCAAGGCCCUGCUUUUGUGGGGUGCUCGAGUGGCGAACGGGUGAGUAACACGUGAGUAACCUGCCCUUGACUUUGGGAUAACUUCAGGAAACUGGGGCUAAUACCGGAUAGGAGCUCCUGCUGCAUGGUGGGGGUUGGAAAGUUUCGGCGGUUGGGGAUGGACUCGCGGCUUAUCAGCUUGUUGGUGGGGUAGUGGCUUACCAAGGCUUUGACGGGUAGCCGGCCUGAGAGGGUGACCGGCGACAUUGGGACUGAGAUACGGACCAGAGUCGUACGGGAGGCAGCAGGGGGGAAUAUUGCACAAUGGGAGGAAGUCUGAGGCAGCAACGCCGCGUGCGGGAUGACGGCCUUCGGGUUGUAAACAGCUUUAGCCUGUGACGAAGCGUGAGUGACGGUAAUGGGUAAAGAAGCACCGGCUAACUACGUG